UUCGUAGUCGAAUGAAUCAGUAAAUGUUGCAAUUUUUUUUUAUUUGUUUGUUAAAAUCGAUUAGAAUCCAAGGUUAUUUAAAAAUUCUUUCUCAUUUCUACUGAUAGAUGCCGCCAUAUAUGUGUUUUUUAAUAUAGUUUCGAGUUUUUUUAUUUUUUUUUUAAUUCAUACAUCAGACCAUGUAAUUUGAUUUUGAGAUUUGAAAUUAUCGAUUUCUAUUAAGAUCCAAUGUUGUCACAAAACUGAUGAUGAUGACGAAUUCAUUCUUUGUUCAAGUACCACUUGGCAAUCGACCAAUAAUAAUAAUUUAGUUAUGUCCAUGACAAUUCAUUGUUUUGUGGCAUCUGUUUGUGAAAUGAAUAACGAGAAUGUGAAAUAAUAAGAAUCCAAAAUGUAAUCAUAUACAAUGAACUUUGAACCUUGAGCUGUAAAAAAUUGAAAUAAACAUCACAAUCCUCUUCAUCAUCCGUUUUAUUUCGUUGUUUUGUUUUUUUUUUUUUUUUGGUUUAGUCCUAGUUAAAAGCCAAAAACCAGAAGAUCAAAAAUAAUAAUAAUAAUAAUAAAAUAAUAAUAUGGACCAUUUAGUUUAAUUGAAACUUGCAUCAAACAUUAGUUGAAUGAGAAGAAAAAGAAAUUGAAAGAAAUGAUCCUGUUUGGAAUGAUGGUGGAAUCAAAUUGGGCAUCAUCAUCAUAAAUCUAAUUGAUCCUGGAACAAUCGCGCGCAUACACACACACAUAGGCAAAAAUCUUCAUCAUUAUCCAGAUCCAAAAAUAAUAACAAUGAAAAUAUUUAGAGUUUUUUUUGUGAAGGGGUGGGGGUGGGAAGAAGUGAUGGUGGAUUCAUUAUUAUUGUGAUCACAAUAUAUUUAUUUAAAUUAUCAUUAUUUUUUUCCACUUUCAUUAAUUUUAAUAUUUAACAAAACAUCCACCUUCCGUCCCCCGCUACCACCUUUGUUUUAUGAAAAAAAAAAUUAAAUAAAGAAUGUUAUUGUAACUAAGCACACAAAA